AAUAGAUACCCCGGUAGUCCACGCCGUAAACCGAUGAAUGCUAGGUGUUAGGGGUUUCGAUACCCGUUGGUGCCGAAGUUAACACAUUAAGCAUUCCGCCUGGGGAGUACGGCCGCAAGGCUGAAACUCAAAGGAAUUGACGGGGACCCGCACAAGCAGUGGAGUAUGUGGUUUAAUUCGAAGCAACGCGAAGAACCUUACCAGGUCUUGACAUCCCCCCUGACCGGCGCAGAGAUGUGCCUUUCCUUCGGGACAGGGGAGACAGGUGGUGCAUGGUUGUCGUCAGCUCGUGUCGUGAGAUGUUGGGUUAAGUCCCGCAACGAGCGCAACCCUUGACUUUAGUUGCCAGCAAGUAAAGUUGGGCACUCUAGAGUGACUGCCGGUGACAAACCGGAGGAAGGUGGGGAUGACGUCAAAUCAUCAUGCCCCUUAUGACCUGGGCUACACACGUACUACAAUGGCCGGUACAACGGGAAGCGAAGGAGCGAUCUGGAGCGAAUCCGUUUAAAGCCGGUCUCAGUUCGGAUUGCAGGCUGCAACUCG
rnacentral:rRNA from 1 species